GACGAACGCUGGCGGCGUGCUUAACACAUGCAGGUCGAACGAAAAUACCAAGCUUGCUUGGUUGAUUAGUGGCGAACGGGUGAGUAACACGUGAGUAACCUGCCCCUUACUUUCCUGGAUAACUGCUCGAAAGGGUAGCUAAUACGGGAUAUUCUGACCAGCCUGCAUGGGUUGGUUUGGAAAGGUUGUUUUUCUGGUAAGGGAUGGGCUCGCGGCCUAUCAGCUUGUUGGUGGGGUGAUGGCCUACCAAGGCUUUGACGGGUAGCCGGCCUGAGAGGGUGGACGGUCACACUGGGACUGAGAUACGGCCCAGACUCCUACGGGAGGCAGCAGUGGGGAAUAUUGCACAAUGGGCGCAAGCCUGAUGCAGCGACGCCGCGUGAGGGAUGAAGGCCUUCGGGUUGUAAACCUCUUUCGUCAGGGAACAAGGCACUGCUUUUGUGGUGGUGUUGAGGGUACCUGGAUAAGAAGCGCCGGCUAACUACGUG
rnacentral:rRNA from 1 species